rnacentral:rRNA from 1 species
AACGCUGGCGGCAUGCCUUACACAUGCAAGUCGAACGGCAGCACGGGAGCGAAUCCUGGUGGCGAGUGGCGAACGGGUGAGUAAUAUAUCGGAACGUGCCCAGUCGUGGGGGAUAACGUAGCGAAAGCUACGCUAAUACCGCAUACGAUCUAUGGAUGAAAGCGGGGGAUCGCAAGACCUCGCGCGAUUGGAGCGGCCGAUAUCAGAUUAGGUAGUUGGUGAGGUAAAGGCUCACCAAGCCGACGAUCUGUAGCUGGUCUGAGAGGACGACCAGCCACACUGGGACUGAGACACGGCCCAGACUCCUACGGGAGGCAGCAGUGGGGAAUUUUGGACAAUGGGCGCAAGCCUGAUCCAGCAAUGCCGCGUGCAGGAUGAAGGCCUUCGGGUUGUAAACUGCUUUUGUACGGAACGAAACGGUGAGCUCUAAUACAGUUUGCUAAUGACGGUACCGUAAGAAUAAGCACCGGCUAACUACGUG